rnacentral:rRNA from 1 species
GACGAACGCUGGCGGCGUGCUUAACACAUGCAAGUCGAACGGUAAGGCCCUUCGGGGUACACGAGUGGCGAACGGGUGAGUAACACGUGGGUGAUCUGCCCUGCACUUCGGGAUAAGCCUGGGAAACUGGGUCUAAUACCGGAUAGGACCAUGGACUUCACGGUUUGUGGUGGAAAGCUUUUGCGGUGUGGGAUGGGCCCGCGGCCUAUCAGCUUGUUGGUGGGGUAAUGGCCUACCAAGGCGACGACGGGUAGCCGGCCUGAGAGGGUGUCCGGCCACACUGGGACUGAGAUACGGCCCAGACUCCUACGGGAGGCAGCAGUGGGGAAUAUUGCACAAUGGGCGCAAGCCUGAUGCAGCGACGCCGCGUGAGGGAUGACGGCCUCGGUUGUAACUCUUUCAAUAGGGACGAAGCGCAAGUGACGGUACCGUAUAGAAGAAGCACCGGCCAACUAACGUGCCAGCAGCCGCGGUAAU